GAAGCUUGGCUCUUCGCUGACGAGUGGCGCACGGGUGCGUAACGCGUAUGCAACUUACCCCAAACUGGAGAAUAGCCUUUCGAAAGAAAGAAUAAUACUCCAUAGUAUUUCAAAGAGGCAUCUCUUUGUUCUUAAAGCUUCGGCGGUUUGGGAUGGGCAUGCGUUCUAUUAGUUAGUUGGUGAGGUAAUGGCUCACCAAGACCACGAUAGAUAGGGGGCCUGAGAGGGUUAUCCCCCACACUGGUACUGAGACACGGACCAGACUCCUACGGGAGGCAGCAGUGAGGAAUAUUGCACAAUGGACGAAAGUCUGAUGCAGCCAUGCCGCGUGCAGGAUGAAUGCCCUACGGGUUGUAAACUGCUUUUAUAUGGGAAGAAACGCCUCUACGUGUAGAGGUCUGACGGUACCAUAAGAAUAAGGACCGGCUAACUCCGUGCCAGCAGCCGCGGUAAUACGGAGGGUCCAAGCGUUAUCCGGAUUUAUUGGGUUUAAAGGGUCCGUAGGCGGGAAGAUAAGUCAGUGGUGAAAGCCUGCAGCUCAACUGCAGAACUGCCAUUGAAACUGUCUUUCUUGAAUAUAGAUGAAGUGGGCGGAAUAUAUCAUGUAGCGGUGAAAUGCAUAGAUAUGAUAUAGAACACCGAUUGCGAAGGCAGCUCACUAAACUAUUAUUGACGCUGAGGGACGAAAGUGUGGGGAGCGAACAGGAUUAGAUACCCUGGUAGUCCACGCCGUAAACGAUGAUCACUCGAUAUUGGCCUUCGGGUCAGUGUCCAAGCGAAAGUGUUAAGUGAUCCACCUGGGGAGUACGCUCGCAAGAGUGAAACUCAAAGGAAUUGACGGGGGCCCGCACAAGCGGUGGAGCAUGUGGUUUAAUUCGAUGAUACGCGAGGAACCUUACCAGGGCUUAAAUGCAGAACGACCGGUCUGGAAACAGAUCUUUCUUCGGACGGUCUGCAAGGUGCUGCAUGGUUGUCGUCAGCUCGUGCCGUGAGGUGUCGGGUUAAGUCCCAUAACGAGCGCAACCCCUAUCUUUAGUUGCCAGCGGAUAAUGCCGGGGACUCUAGAGAAACUGCCAGCGUAAGCUGAGAGGAAGGUGGGGAUGACGUCAAAUCAUCACGGCCCUUACAUCCUGGGCUACACACGUGCUACAAUGGUAGAGACAAUGAGCAGCCAACCGGUGACGGUGAGCCAAUCUUCAAACUCCAUCUCAGUUCGGAUCGGAGUCUGCAACUCGACUCCGUGAAGCUGGAAUC
rnacentral:rRNA from 1 species